GGUAACGCUGGCGAGAUGCCUUCCGCUGCACAUGUCGUACGAGAAGUACAUUCGAAGUAGGGACGGGUGAGUAACACGUAAGAAUCACCUUUAUGAGGCGGACAACAACUGGAAACGGUUGCUAAUACCCCAUAUGCUUUCGAGUGAAAUGGAUUUUUCCGCCUAGAGAGAAGCUUGCGGCUGAUUAGCUUGUUGGUGAGGUAAUGGCUCACCAAGGCGACGAUCAGUAUCUGGUUUGAGAGGAUGAUCAGACACACUGGAACUGAGACACGGUCCAGACUCCUACGGGAGGCAGCAGUGGGGAAUUUUCCGCAAUGGGCGAAAGCCUGACGGAGCAAUCUCGCGUGCAGGAUGACGGACUAUGGGUUGUAACUUCUUUUUACCAGGGAGGAACAAAAUGACGUGUACCCUGAAGACUAAGCAUCAGGCUAACUCCGUGCCAGCAGCCGCGGUAAGACGGAGGAUGCAAGUGUAAUCCGGAAUCACUGGGCGUUAAGCGUCUGUAGGUGGGUAAAUAAAGUCAACUGUUUAAUCUUGAAGCUUAACUUCAAAAUACGCAGUCGAAACUAUUAGAAUUGUGUUAUAGUCGGGGGGUCAAGGGAAUUUCCCAAUGGAGCAGGUGGAAAUGCGUACAAGCAUGGACAACGAACAACUGAUAGGUGAAAGCACUUUAUAGGGCUAUAUAUUGACAUCAAAGACGAAAGCUCGGUUGCCCG
rnacentral:rRNA from 1 species